ensembl:lncRNA
AAAUACAGAAUCUUCACUGGUCUAUAUAUUACCCCACACUGAAGCCACAACAUGAGUCUGCGCAAGUUCACAUUUAAAUGGUUCGGGAGCCUCACCAACCUGUCAUUCCGCCGCUCCACUGACAAAUCGCAGUCUGAGUCCAGGUCUGGAGGGAGCAGUGUGUCCUUUGAUGGAGACAAACCAGGACUGGACAAAGUACCGGAGUCCACAGUGGACGACCUGGAGGCCAUGCGUCCUCGAACAUCCAGCUACGUGAGGUCCACUGAGGGCUAUAGUCAUGUGGGCACACUGCCCCGACUUCUCCAGAAAAAGAGGGACAAGAACAAUCAAGAGGGCCCCAGCAGCAGUAAGAAGGUUAAAGACAAGUGGAGCCUUCGCAGAAGUCAGAGUCAGUGCCAUGAUCAAGUCCAGUACCGAAUAAAAACAAGGGACAGUCCAACCAGACAGAGCAGACCAGAAGAGGUGAGACCUGAAGCUGACCCUGGAGCCGACUCUCCUCCGGAUCCAAGUCCAAUCACUCCACAUGAAGACACAGGACAAAAAAGUGUCACAGACCUUCAACAAGAC